UACGACUACAUAUCAGGCAUAUCAAUAAGCGGAGGAAAAGAAACUAACUAGGAUUCCCUCAGUAACGGCGAGUGAAGCUGGGAAGAGCUCAAAUUUGAAAUCUUCAAGGUUCUACCUUGACGAAUUGUAGUUUAAAGAAGUGUUUUCUGUUGGAGUUUUGGUAAAAGUUCUUUGGAAUAGGACAUCAUAGAGGGUGAGAAUCCCGUAUUUGACCAUUAUUUCCAGCUUUGUGAUACACUUUCAAAGAGUCGGAUUGUUUGGGAAUGCAGUCCAAAAUGGGUGGUAAAUUUCAUCUAAAGCUAAAUAUUGGCGAGAGACCGAUAGCGAACAAGUACCGUGAGGGAAAGAUGAAAAGAACUUUGAAAAGAGAGUUAAACAGUACGCUGAAAUUGUCAAAAGGGAAGCGUUUGACACCAGUGUUGUUUUCUCGAAAAUCAAUUAAAAAAGGCAGGGAUUUUGUGUUGUAUUGACUUUAUCAGCUUUCUGCACUCUUUUCUUGUCUUUUUUAAUGCACUUUUCGUUUAACAAGUCAACAUCAAUUUCUUUUGUUGUAAAAGGGUCAUUGGAAGGUGGCUUUCUUUUCGGAGAAAGUGUUUAUAGCCUUUGGCCUCUGCAAUCGGAGAGAUUGAGGUCUGCAGCGUAGAUCCUUCGGGGUUAGAUACAUUUGUGCUAAGUUAUAGCCUUUCAUAGACAACUUGUUGACUAUGAUCAGUCAUGUAGCAUACUCGCUUAUGCUAUUUUACCUACGCUUAGGAUGUUGAGCGCAUGUCUCUCUCU
rnacentral:rRNA from 1 species